AGGUAGCAUAAUCAUUAGUUUUUUAAUUGAAGGCUAGAAUGAAUGGUUGGACAAGAAAUAGUCUGUCUUAAUUAAAGAUAUUGAAUUUAACUUUUGAGUGAAAAGGCUUAAAUGAUCUGAAGGGAAGAUAAGACCCUAUAAAACUUUAUAUUUAAAAGUGGGAGUUAGUUUUAUUUAAAGGUUGCUAUUUUAUAAUAUUUGGUUGGGGCGACAGGGAUAAAAAAGUAACUGUCCUUUUUUUUUACAAUAAUAUUUGGUUUAAUGAUCCUAAAAUCGAUGGAAGAUUAAGUUACUUUAGGGAUAACAGCGUUAUUUUCUUUAAGAGUUCUUAUCGACAGGAAAGUUUGCGACCUCGAUGUUGAAUUAUAAGUUCUUUAUGGGGUAGAGGCUAUAAUAGAAGGUCUGUUCGACCUUUAAAAUUUUACAUGAUUUGAGUUCAGACCGGCGUGAGCCAGGUUG
rnacentral:rRNA from 1 species